CUAUCUGUACCUGUAAAAACUAAUUAUAAUUUUUUUUAUAUGGUUUGUGCGUUCCAUCAUUGUAGAGAAUUGCAAAGAAGUUUUGUAAGUAAAGGGGAAGAGAUCCAUAUAAUCAAAGAAACCACUUUUUUUAAUAAGAUGAAUGAAUGCACCUCUUCAAGUUCUACAGAAUUAUUAAAUGAAGGAAUCUGCUUCAGAAUUACUGACUGCAUGUCGCUGCAACAUCUGUGCUACAAAGUUUGAUUGUUU